GUGCUUGCUUUGGCGGCACAUAUACUAAAAUUGGAGUGAUACAGAGAAGAUUAGCAUGCCCCUGAGCAAGAAUGACAUGCAAAUUCAUGAAGCAUUGCAUAUUUUU